GGGCUGGCAAUAGUGGCUGGGUGGGUGGGAUCACAGGGAGGGUUUAUGGGGGGACAGUUCCGAAACCCAUGUACAAGCCUAGAAAGGGCGAGAUGGUUGGUUUGCCUCAUAUUCUCAGAUCAACAAGGCCUCUGAGACAUUUUUAUGGGCCAGGGAGGGAUGAGACUGAGUCAGAAGACAGAGCCUAGACACCUCCAAUACCCUUGCCUCAAAUAAUUAACAAAUCACAAAAGCAGGGUGGGAAAGGAGGGAGGAAAGGAAGCAGAAGUGAAGAGAGACACUGUUCUCCCACUCUCUGCUGGUUAGACCUAACAAGGUUAUGCUUCAUGCUGGGUUUCACAAUAGCAUCAACCUCAGCCUCAGAAGCAUGUCUUAGAACCAGUCCCCGGAGAUCAAGAACCACGUUCUUCUCUUCCUUCUCUCCAAAUCACUUCCUUUUAUCUAUUUUUCCAGCACAGCGAAUGAGAAAAAGGACACAGACCCAGGAUUCAGAAAGGAAAUGAGGACAGAGACUAACACUGUCUAAAUACAUAAAGGCAGAAGACAUUUUCUCAGCAACCCGGGGAUAGAUCCUUUUCCGUUCCACUGAAGCUUGCAGAGAAAAGCGGGCUGUGAGAAGCAAGGCCCCGGAGGGGAGGCAGACAGACCCUGAGCCGUGCAAAUUUGUGCAAAUGCCUGGAUUUGCCCCGAAGGCAGAGAGGGUGGGGAGCUUCAGAGACCAACAGGGGGAAAUUUGUACAUAGAGACAUGCAGAGAGAGGAGCUGAUGUGAAGGCAUGGAGAGAUUUUCAUCUACAAGCCAAGGAAUGCCUGAGCUACCAGAAGCCAAGAGAGAGGCAAGGAACAGAGUCUGCCUCACAGCCCUUAAAAGCAAACAACCCUGCUGACAUCUUACGUUUGAACUUCCAGCUUCCAGAACUGUGAGACAAUAAACUUCUGUUGUUUAAGCAACUCAGUUUGUGGUACCUUGUUAUGGCAGGCCUAGCAAAUUAAUACACCUUCUUACUAAAAACAACCAUAAAACUGCCAAAAUAUAUGAGGAAACUGUCUUUAGGUAUUUGGACAACAUGCGGUACGGGGCUGUGAUUCUUGAGAGGAAAGGAAAUGUAUGAGCUAAAUGAAAGUUAAAAGAAUCCAUCUGUAAUACAAGAAAUAUGAAAAGAGGUUCUGCUUGUGAAAUAUAUGUCAAAGGUGGCAAAAAUAGUAGGAAAAAAAUACAUGUAAUUUUGCAAUUGUAAGACUUAAAUAUUUUAUGGGUGGUGGUACAAUGUCAACUCUAGUCACUGUGAUCAGUUAAAGUGUCAUAUUUUAAUCUUUGUGGGAACCAUUUAAAAAAUACAAAUAAGGAUAGCUAAAAAGCCAACAGAGGACAGAAAAGGAAUACUAAAAAUAUUUAAUGAACUCAAAAGAAGGAAUGAAAGGAAGAAUGGAGGAACAACAAGAUGUCAGGAGAAAUAGUAAAUAAAUACCAGGAUGGUAACAUUAAAUCCCAGUAUAUCAAUAAUUAUAUUAAAUGUUAAA
rnacentral:lncRNA from 1 species